CUUACCAGGUCCAGACACAGUUAGGAUUGACAGAUUGAAAGCUCUUUCUUGAUUCUGUGGGUGGUGGUGCAUGGCCGUUCUUAGUUGGUGGAGUGAUUUGUCUGGUUAAUUCCGAUAACGAACGAGACCUCAGCCUAUUAAUUAAAUAAAAAAAUAUAAGCAAUUAUAAGGGUUAAAUAAAAUUUAAUUUAAUAUUAUUUUUUAGUAUUAAAUUAUUUUAUUUAAAACUUGUUUAUAUUUAUUUUUAUUUUCUUAAAGGGACACUUGGUGUUUAACCAAGGGAAGUUUGAGGCAAUAACAGGUCUGUGAUGCCCUUUAGAUGUUCUGGGCCGCACGCGCGCUACACUGAUAAAAUCAAUAAGUUUUUUAAUUUAAUUCCUUGACUGAAAAGUUUGGGUAAACUUUGAAAAUUUUAUCGUGCUGGGGAUUGACAAUUGUAAUUAUUUGUCAUGAACGAGGAAUUCCUAGUAAACGUAAGUCAUCAGCUUACGUUGAUUACGUCCCUGCCCUUUGUACACACCGCCCGUC
rnacentral:rRNA from 1 species